UACGUAGGGGGGCUAGCGUUAUCCGGAAUUACUGGGCGUAAAGGGUGCGUAGGUGGUUUCUUAAGUCAGAGGUGAAAGGCUACGGCUCAACCGUAGUAAGCCUUUGAAACUGGGAAACUUGAGUGCAGGAGAGGAGAGUGGAAUUCCUAGUGUAGCGGUGAAAAUGCGUAGAUAUCAGGAAGAACACCUAUGGCGAAGGCAGCUCUC
rnacentral:rRNA from 1 species